rnacentral:rRNA from 1 species
UACGGAGGGUGCAAGCAUUGAUCGGAAUUACUGGGCGUAAAGGGCGCGUAGGCGGUUAUGAAAGUCGAAUGUGAAAUUCCGGGGCUCAACCCCGGAGCUGCAUUUGAAACUCCAUAGCUAGAGUUCAGUUAGGGUAAACGGAAUUCCACGUGUAGCGGUGAAAUGCGUAGAUAUGUGGAAGAACACCGGUGGUGAAGACGGUUUACUGGGCUGAUACUGACGCUGAGGCGCGAAAGCAUGGGGAGCAAACAGG